rnacentral:rRNA from 1 species
AUGGGCAGUCUGGCUACCUCAAGCAGAAUUUUGUACAAUACUUCAUACCAUUCUUCCCUGGGGUGUACACCUUACAAAGCUCUGUAUGGUUAUGCUCCUAAUAUGGGACAGUUGAGAGGACAUCCAACUUCUCUCAAUCCUGAUGUUAAUACCUGGCUGGCCACUCACACUCAGCAUACAGCAGCACUCAGAGAACAUUUGGCCAGAGCUCAGUGCAAAUAUAAGCACUAUGCUGACAAGAAACGCUCCGAAAGGGAGUUUUCUACUGGCGAAAUGGUGUAUUUGAGGUUACAACCCUACGCUCAGUCCACAGUGGUGAAUCGUCCUUGUCGCAAACUUGCACUGAAGUAUUUUGGGCCUUAUAAAAUUAUGGAGAAGAUUGGAGCAGCAGCUUAUCGUUUGGAAUUACCACGAGGCAGUCAGAUCCACCCAGUUUUCCAUGUAUCUCAACUGAAGAACCAUGUACCUGAUCAUACGCCAGUGUUUGCAUCGUUGCCGGUUCCGAUCGAUCUUUCUGCUCCUGGGGUUUUACCUGAAGAAAUUCUCGAUCGCCGACUGGUCAAAAAGGGCAACACCUCUCAGUUGCAAGUGUUGAUUAAGUGGGCAACGAUACCUGCAGCUUCGGCCACCCGGGAGGACUAUGAUGUGCCGAAACAACGAUUUCCAGAUGCACCAGCAUGGGGACACGCUGGUUCUUCAGGGGCGGGUACUGUAAGUGCAGAGGCGAUGGCACUAGGUUCAGGAAGAGCGGGCUGGCGCGAGAAGUGGCGCAGGAGCCCUGGCGUAAGCGGGAAGAUUUGA